UCCCUUUGGCAAUGAGCAAAGAGACACCUUGUUGGUGAUGUUAUUCUUAUAUCAGUCAGGGGCUGAGCAGAUGGUGAUUCUUUGUUCAUCCUAGCUGGAUGCCUGGCUUGGUGGCUUGGUGGCUAAACUCUUUUAUGCCCAGGACACAUAA